rnacentral:rRNA from 1 species
UACGUAGGGUGCGAGCGUUAAUCGGAAUUACUGGGCGUAAAGCGUGCGCAGGCGGUUAUGUAAGACAGAUGUGAAAUCCCCGGGCUCAACCUGGGAACUGCAUUAGUGACUGCAUAGCUGGAGUACGGCAGAGGGGGAUGGAAUUCCGCGUGUAGCAGUGAAAUGCGUAGAGAUGUGGAGGAACACCGAUGGCGAAGGCAGCCUCCUGGACCUGUACUGACGCUCAUGCACGAAAGCUAGGGGAGCGAAUGGG